rnacentral:rRNA from 1 species
AUUGAACGCUGGCGGUAGGCCUAACACAUGCAAGUCGAGCGGCUGCACAGUACUUGCUCGCUCUUACAGCUGCCGACUGGCGGACGGUUCCUAAGUAUCUCCGUAGUUGCGUUUUCUUACGUGCGGACGCAGGGGCUCAUACGCUAUUACUGCAUAGGACCUACGUGUGAAAUCUUCGGACCUUCCGAUAUCGCAUGAUCCUAUGUGCCGAUGUCGGAUUAGCUAGUUGGCGGGGUAAAGGCCCACCAAGGCGACGAUCCGUAGCUGGUCUGAGAGGAUGAUCAGCCACACUGGAACUGAGACACGGUCCAGACUCCUACGGGAGGCAGCAGUGGGGAAUAUUGGACAAUGGGCGCAAGCCUGAUCCAGCCAUACCGCGUGGGUGAAGAAGGCCUUCGGGUUGUAAAGCCCUUUUGUUGGGAAAGAAAAGCAGCAGGUUAAUACCCCGCUGUUCUGACGGUACCAAAAGAAUAAGCACCGGCUAACUUCGUG